AACAGUAAAGCUGCUCGUCCCGCGACGUUCAACUUGAAAACACACCCCCCGCGUACCUCUCCCCUUUUGCUUCCCCGGGUCCUCUGUCGGUCCCGGGGGAGGUCAGCCGGGAGGCCCGGCUGCCCCCGGCGGCCUGGGUCCGGCGACACCCCUUUGAGUUCCGUCUGGGAUGUCUGAAUUCGACCGAAGAAGUCUCA
rnacentral:misc_RNA from 1 species